GACGAACGCUGGCGGCGUGCUUAACACAUGCAAGUCGAACGGAAAGGCCCUGCUUGCGUGGGGUGCUCGAGUGGCGAACGGGUGAGUAACACGUGAGUAACCUGCCCUUGACUUUGGGAUAACUUCAGGAAACUGGUGCUAAUACCGGAUAGCAGCUCCUGCUGCAUGGUGGGGGUUGGAACGUUUCGGCGGAUGGGGAAGGACUCGGGGCUUAUCAGCUUGUUGGUGGGGUGGUGGCUUACCAAGGCUUUGACGGGUAGCCGGCCUGGGAGGGAGACCGGCUACAGUGGGCUACGGAAGCGAGCAGGGCUGAAUAGGGGGGCAGGGGUGGGAACUUUAGCCAGACGGGCGGAGGCUGGGUGGAGCGUCGCCGGGUUGGAGAGGACGUCAUGCGGGGUGGAAGCGGAUUACGCUUGUACCUAGCCGUUAGGACCGGUAAAGGAUAAUGAGGAACGGCUAACUUCGUG
rnacentral:rRNA from 1 species